AUGAAUAUCCGCCCCAAGGUAUUCGAAAUGCUCAAGGAGCACAAGAAGGAAGUGGGGUUGGCCAAGCUGAAGAACCAGAAGGGGAGGAACCAGCGGAAUAUCGCCCCACGAGGUCUCCGCAAUGACUCAGCCCGAGUGUUCCCUAGGAAGUUGUGCAAGCCUACUUAUAUUACGAGACUGUCUUUCAAGCGCUUCAACAAAACUGUGAAGAAGUUUAGUGAGAUUCAGUUAAGGCAUGUGACAAAGUACAAAAUGGAACCCCUGCUUCAUUUGCCAAAGAAACUUAAAAUCCCAAUGAAUCUGCUUGAAUGGAUUGAUCAGCAUAUGUUUGGAACUACAAAAAUCUGUUUCAAGCAUAAGAACAAAAUUAUCAAGAUUACUAAAGAUAUGGUCGACAAAUUUUUUGAUUUCCCUGGUGGCACUGUGCCUUUUGUAUUCAGUAGUGACGAUCCCCAAGUGAAGGCAGAGGUUAUAGAGUUAAGGAACAAGUAUGUCGAUCAUCGGAACAAAAUGCCAAUCAACAAAAUAGAGGAGAGACGUUUCUGCCAUCCCUUCACUUGA
rnacentral:rRNA from 1 species